rnacentral:rRNA from 1 species
GACGAACGCUGGCGGCGUGCUUAACACAUGCAAGUCGAACGGAAAGGCCCUGCUUUUGUGGGGUGCUCGAGUGGCGAACGGGUGAGUAACACGUGAGUAACCUGCCCUUGACUUUGGGAUAACUUCAGGAAACUGGGGCUAAUACCGGAUAGGAGCUCCUGCUGCAUGGUGGGGGUUGGAAAGUUUCGGCGGUUGGGGAUGGACUCGCGGCUUAUCAGCUUGUUGGUGGGGUAGUGGCUUACCAAGGCUUUGACGGGUAGCCGGCCUGAGAGGGUGACCGGCCACAUUGGGACUGAGAUACGGCACAGACUCCUACGGGAGGCAGCAGUGGGGAAUAUUGCACAAUGGGCGGAAGCCUGAUGCAGCAACGCCGCGUGCGGGAUGACGGCCUUCGGGUUGUAAACCGCUUUCGCCUGUGACGAAGCGUGAGUGACGGGAAUGGGUAAAGAAGCACCGGCUAACUACGUG